rnacentral:lncRNA from 1 species
UAGAAACCUCCAAAGCGUGUGUUACUACACUAACAUUUAGGUUCGAUUUGCCCCCAUCAAUUUAAGUGUAUUGGAUGCAAAUGGGAUGAACAGCGAAUCCCCUUCAGGAUACUUUGGAAAACCUUGAUGUGUUUUGCACCAAUACACCAAACGUAUCUUUCGAUAGUAGUUUACAAAUUUAUGUUUCCUACACUUCUCUCAUGCAUUAGAGAAAUGGAUGAUGAUUUCUUGAAUGAGAAAAUUCGGAUUUUCGG